AGUGAACGCUGGCGGUAGGCCUAACACAUGCAAGUCGAACGGCAGCACAGUAAGAGCUUGCUCUUACGGGUGGCGAGUGGCGGACGGGUGAGGAAUACAUCGGAAUCUACUUUUUCGUGGGGGAUAACGUAGGGAAACUUACGCUAAUACCGCAUACGACCUACGGGUGAAAGCAGGGGAUCUUCGGACCUUGCGCGAUUGGAUGAGCCGAUGUCGGAUUAGCUAGUUGGCGGGGUAAAGGCCAACCAAGGCGACGAUCCGUAGCUGGUCUGAGAGGAUGAUCAGCCACACUGGAACUGAGACACGGUCCAGACUCCUACGGGAGGCAGCAGUGGGGAAUAUUGGACAAUGGGCGCAAGCCUGAUCCAGCCAUACCGCGUGGGUGAAGAAGGCCUUCGGGUUGUAAAGCCCUUUUGUUGGGAAAGAAAAGCAGCAGGUUAAUACCCCGCUGUUCUGACGGUACCCAAAGAAUAAGCACCGGCUAACUUCGUG
rnacentral:rRNA from 1 species